rnacentral:tRNA from 1 species
AAGGGAGACCUAAUUCGGGUAUAAGACGAAAAAAUAGUAGUCGAAACCAAGAAUCAAUCCCAAAAGGUCGGAGCGAGGCAUGAGGCUUUCAAACUAGGUUCUGGGUUCAUAAAAGACCUGAAUCAGGAACAAGGGCUAUUAGCUCAGGUGGUUAGAGCGCACCCCUGAUAAGGGUGAGGUCCCUGGUUCGAGUCCAGGAUGGCCCACCUGCACAGGUGGCAAAAACAAAAGAAGCGAGGAAUCAGCACCUUAUCUUACUUAUAUAGUAAGAGAGAAUGCUGGCUCUGAGUAAAGAGUCCAGAGGAACCUUGAAAACUGCAUAGAGCUAGGUGAAAAAGCCAAAAAAGAAGACCGCAAGGUCAAGCUAAUAAGGGCUAACGGUGGAUACCUAGGCAC